UGGGUAGUAUCUUAUGGAGCUAUACCAGACUUUUUUCAUUAGAAUAUACUUACAACUCAUAUCUAUGCGAAUGAGAUUGAAAU
rnacentral:ncRNA from 1 species